rnacentral:rRNA from 1 species
AGAGUUUGAUCAUGGCUCAGGAUGAACGCUAGCGGCAGGCUUAACACAUGCAAGUCGAGGGGCAGCACGGGUAGCAAUACCUGGUGGCGACCGGCGGAAGGGUGCGUAACGCGUGAGCAACAUGCCCUAUACAGGGGAAUAAACCAGGGAAACUUGGUCUAAUGCCCCAUAGCAAUAAGAUAAGGCAUCUUAUUUUAUUUAAAGCUUCGGUGGUAUAGGAUUGGCUCGCGUGACAUUAGCUGGAUGGUGGGGUAACGGCCCACCAUGGCGAUGAUGUCUAGGGGUUCUGAGAGGAAGACCCCCCACACUGGGACUGAGACACGGCCCAGACUCCUACGGGAGGCAGCAGUAGGGAAUAUUGCGCAAUGGAGGAAACUCUGACGCAGCGACGCCGCGUGAGCGAUGAAGGUUUUCGGAUCGUAAAGCUCUGUCCUUGGGGAAGAAGGUCUUCGGACUUGACGGUACCCAAGAAGAAAGCCCCGGCUAACUACGUGCCAGCAGCCGCGGUAAUACGUAGGGGGCAAGCGUUGUCCGGAAUUAUUGGGCGUAAAGGGUGCGUAUGCGGCCUUUUAAGUCAGAUGUGAAAGCCCGCGGCUUAACUGCGGGAUUGCAUUUGAAACUGGGAGGCUUGAGUAUCGGAGAGGGUAGUGGAAUUCCCAGUGUAGCGGUGAAAUGCGUAGAUAU